UACGGAGGGUGCAAGCGUUAUCCGGAUUCACUGGGCUUAAAGGGUGCGUAGGCGGCCAGGUAAGUCAGUGGUGAAAUCUCCAAGCUUAACUUGGAAACUGCCGUUGAUACUAUCUGUCUUGAAUACCGUGGAGGUGAGCGGAAUAUGUCAUGUAGCGGUGAAAUGCCUAGAUAUGACAUAGAACACCAAUUGCGAAGGCAGCUCGCUACACGAAUAUUGACUCUGAGGCACGAAAGCGUGGGGAUCAAACAGG
rnacentral:rRNA from 1 species